GUUACGCUAAUACCGCAUAUUCUGUGAGCAGGAAAGCAGGGGAUCGCAAGACCUUGCGCUGAUUGAGCGGCCGAUAUCAGAUUAGCUAGUUGGUGAGGUAAAGGCUCACCAAGGCGACGAUCUGUAGCGGGUCUGAGAGGAUGAUCCGCCACACUGGAACUGAGACACGGUCCAGACUCCUACGGGAGGCAGCAGUGGGGAAUUUUGGACAAUGGGGGCAACCCUGAUCCAGCCAUGCCGCGUGAGUGAAGAAGGCCUUCGGGUUGUAAAGCUCUUUCGGCCGGGAAGAAAUCGUAUGGGUUAAUACCCUGUGCGGAUGACGGUACCGGCAUAAGAAGCACCGGCUAACUACGUGCCAGCAGCCGCGGUAAUACGUAGGGUGCGAGCGUUAAUCGGAAUUACUGGGCGUAAAGCGUGCGCAGGCGGUUUUGUAAGACAGGCGUGAAAUCCCCGGGCUCAACCUGGGAACUGCGCUUGUGACUGCAAGGCUAGAGUAUGGCAGAGGGGGGUGGAAUUCCACGUGUAGCAGUGAAAUGCGUAGAGAUGUGGAGGAACACCAAUGGCGAAGGCAGCCCCCUGGGCCAAUACUGACGCUCAUGCACGAAAGCGUGGGUAGCAAACAGGAUUAGAUACCCUGGUAGUCCACGCCCUAAACGAUGUCAACUAGGUGUUGGGUGGGUAAAACCAUUUAGUACCGGAGCUAACGCGUGAAGUUGACCGCCUGGGGAGUACGGCCGCAAGGUUAAAACUCAAAGGAAUUGACGGGGACCCGCACAAGCGGUGGAUGAUGUGGAUUAAUUCGAUGCAACGCGAAAAACCUUACCUACCCUUGACAUGUCCAGGAGCCUGAAGAGAUUUGGGUGUGCCCGAAAGGGAACUGGAACACAGGUGCUGCAUGGCUGUCGUCAACUCGUGUCGUGAGAUGUUGGGUUAAGUCCCGCAACGAGCGCAACCCUUGUCGUUAAUUGCCAUCAUUUAGUUGGGCACUUUAACGAGACUGCCGGUGACAAACCGGAGGAAGGUGGGGAUGACGUCAAGUCCUCAUGGCCCUUAUGGGUAGGGCUUCACACGUCAUACAAUGGUCGGUACAAAGGGUUGCCAACCCGCGAAGGGGAGCCAAUCCCAGAAAGCCGAUCGUAGUCCGGAUUGCAGGCUGCAACUCGCCUGCAUGAAGUCGGAAUCGCUAGUAAUCGUGGAUCAGCAUGUCACGGUGAAUACGUUCCCGGGUCUUGUACACACCGCCCGUCACACCAUGGGAGCGGGUUCCGCCAGAAGUAGGUAGCCUAACCGCAAGGGGGGCGCUUACCACGGCGGGGUUCGUGACUGGGGUGAAGUCGUAACAAGGUA
rnacentral:rRNA from 1 species